AGAUAGGCGAGUUUGGAGCAGCCGGGGUGAUUUGGCGCAGGAUGGCACAGCCAGUUGAAAAACACCUAAAAAGUGAGCAACCUCGCUGGGAGCUUCUCAAAUGUGCGUGCGGCACUCACUGCGGUAUUCGAUAUGUUCGUGGCAAACUUGUCUGAACUUGCUACACCCUCAAGUAGGCAUUCGUCGUGGGACUUCGCAUGUUCCUGUGGAUGAUCUGAUUGCAAUAAA